AUUGUGUCAUUUAACUCAUCUGUAAUAUGGAGGUAAGAGAAAGGAAAGAGAAUAAUCAGUUAUAAUUGCAGGGAGGGAUAGAGGAAAGGAAAGAGAAUAUGCAUUUAUGUCAUACCUACUAUGUGUUAUAUGUGCCUGGCAAUGUGCUAAGCAUUUUAUAGAUAUUAUCUCAUGUAAUCCUCACAAACAACCCUAUGAGACAAGUGUUGUUAUCCCCAUUUCACAGUUGAGGGAACUAAGGCAAAUGGAUUAAGUGACUUGACCAAAGUCACACAAUUAAUUAAAUAUCUGAGGCAGGCCUUGCCAUAUCUCCCUGACUCUAAGUCAAGCACUCUUAUUAACUAGUAGUUACUUUUAUCUUUGGGUCUUUAUGGCUGGGCUUAUAAGCCAAAGUCCAAACAAUGUGAUUUUCUUUAGGUGUUAAUUGAAUAAGAUGUACACAAUACUUUUUCUUUCAAAGUAAUUUCUUCAUAGCCAAGAUAGUGCAUGUACCUGGCAGGACAGAAAUAUAUUAGUGAAUGUUAUUUUAACAUGAUUGAAAUAUUCAUUUUUAAAGGUCAUGGACCUAACUGGUAGUAUAACUGGGACCAGAACAAAAAUCUCCUGACUUCUAGUUGAGGGCUCUUUCAUUUCAACCAAACAUCAUACCAUGCAUUUGUUCUGGUAGUAAGCACUGAAAUGUGGAAUUGAAAUGCUGGAGGAAUAUCGUAUCAGAUACAUCUUCCCUUGAAGUAGUAAAAAUGUACAUUGAAUUUGGAAUUAGAAAGUUCUGUAUUAAAAAUGUUGGCUUCAUAACUUAUUAUCUACGAAACAUCAGACAAGUCAGUUAACUAAUCUAAGCCUCAAUUUCCUCAUCUAUUAAAUGGGUAUUAUGUAAUAACUCUCCUAGCUAUAUUACAAGGUUUUUGAGAGUAUCAGUAUACACACACAUUCUGUAUGCAUAUAAAUAUUCCAUAUACAGCUAUGUCACUUAAUAAACAAUAGCAAUUCUUUAUAUUCGUAUAUACCUUGCUUAAUAAACCAUAGUUAUAAAUAUAUAAAAAUAUAAAUAGGCAUUUAAUAAGUAUUUGAAUUGAAUCUUAACAAAUAAUACAUAGGGACACUCACUUAGGAAAAGCAUGAAUAGGCAAGAUAACACCUGUAAUUUCAUAUUUCAGAAAAAUACAAUUUUUAGCUAGGAUGCUUAAAAUUAUUAAUGAAUUUUUCUUAAAAUAAGGGAAAUUUGUAAUUAUUUCUGUGACUUUAGUUCUGCUUUUAGGAAAUGAUCAUUUAAAUCAAAAUGUAACUAUCUCUUUUCCCUCCUAACCAGUUUUAUUUAUUGACUCUUCCAUUCCUGGAAUACCAAACACUAUCAGAGUGAUAAAAAAGAAAGGUGAAGAUGAUAUUCCUAUUCUCAAAGAGAUUGUAAUCUCACUAAAAAUAUAGAAAGAUGUCCCAGAACACAUAAACAAUUGAAAAUUUUAUCUGUUAGGCCUAUGUAUUUAGACCAUAAGUUAGGAGAUGGAUUCCUAAUUCCAGCUUUCUGACUAUGUGAUCUCGGUUAAGAUACACAGGAUCAUAGUUUUCAAGCUAGAAGGGACCUUAGAGGUCAAUUUUGUCAAGCCAUCUCGUUUUACAGAUGAGGAAAAUGAAACUUGAGGAGUUGACUUGUCCAGGAUUACACAUAGGAAUAAAUGGCAAAACUAAGAUUUGGCUUCAUAUCUGAAAAAAUGAUGAUAAUACUUGUUAUAAAGAUGUAUUAAGGAUCAUUUGAGAAAGUGUUUGAUAUACACACGUAUGAUAGAAAAGCAAAGUAAUGAUAAUAAGAGAAACCUGAGCAGGUUUCGUUCAAGCAUGUAAGUGAUGCCUUCUCUCUUAGGAUGUAAGGACCCAAGGAGUCAGGAAAUGGGUGGAAUAAACAAUUUUAGAAUUUCUAGAUUGAGGUCUUCAUGUUGUGACUUUAUUGUUGCUAUUAUGUCUGUAGUAGUAGGUGUAUUGCCAGUGGGGGCCCAGGCCUUGGAGUGCUUGGAUUUGCCUUUUCUGGAUGUUCUUUUAAUCUGUGGACAAUUCUUUCAUUUUGGCAAUUCUAUUUCUACUAUUGUUGCUGCCACAAUUGUUACAAGAACUGCUAUCCUGAUGCUUGAGUGCUUAAACAGGAAAGGACUUCAGCUCCCUUUCAUGUUUUCAUAAGGCCCUCUACCAAAGAACAAAAAAGCAAAACACCUAACUAAUCAUAAACAGGAGCUAGCCGAUUCCUUGAUACAUUCUUGCCUAAGAAACUUGAGUUUACAAUUUGGUGGCUAUGUUGGGGAAGUAUACCUCCAGCCUGAUCCAAUCCUUUGAAGAACUCAAACAAUUGCCCUUGCUUCAAAGUUGAUAGGAAGAAGAAACCUGAAGGAUGGGAAUCCCUUUUAGUUUAUCCAUAGGGUUCAGCAGCUAAGUUAGACCUUUUUUUAAUUGUUACCCAGGGGUGUGAGUCUAUAAAUCAUCAUGGCCACAGAGAAGCAGCUAGAGUACAUCUAUUUCUACCUGAAGGUGCGGCAGGUGGGGAGGGGUGGGUAGAGGAGAGGGAGAAGCCCACCCCAAUCCCCAACCCCACCCCACCCCCAGAUUCUAUGCAUUUGACUGAAAUGCCAGUUUAACAUAUUCUAAGGAAUAGAAGAGGACCAAGGGGGCACUACAUAUGUGUUUACAGUGGAUAUAGGUUAUAUACAUUUUUUUUUUCUUAUUGCAGGGAAUAACUUUUUUAACCCUGGCUUCCCUAGUAGGAUCAAUACUGUGUGAUGGUUCCAAGGCAGACGAGUGGUAAGGGCUUAGAAAUGGGGAUUAAGUGACUUGCCCAGGAUCACACAGCUGGGAAGUAUCUGAGGCCUGCUUUGAACCCAGGAUCUCCUGUCUCUAGUCCUGGCUCUCAAUCCAUUGAGCCACCCAGCUGCCCCAGGAAUAAUUUUUUUUAAUUAAUUAGUUUAUUUAUUUAUUUAAAGACCUUUACCUUCUGUCUUAGAAUCAGUAUUGUAUAUUGGUUCUAAGGCAGAAGAGUGGUAAGGGCUAGGCAAUGGGGGUCAGGUGACUUGCUCACAUAGCUAGGAAGUGUCUGAGGCCCGAUUUGAAUCCAGGAACUCUUAUUUCUGGGCCUAACCCUCAAUCCAUUGAGCCACCCACCUGCCCCUAGGAAUAACUUUUUAAAAGAAAGUUAAAAACAUGUUUCACAGUGAGUUCUCAACUUUUUUCCUUUGUUUUCUAUUCUUCCAGUGCUCUGAUAGAGAUUGUUUUAUUAUGGAUAAGACCACAAUUAGACUAAAUGUAUUUCCUCUUGAUUAGUUUCUAGUCAUAACACACAUAAUUAGGCUGUAGUCAAUAGAUAAGCAUGCUUAAUCUAUGCCAUUUAAUAGUACCAUAAUUUCCUCUCCCUCAUUUUUUGUAAUUGUAUUCUUCUGAAGAGAUUUGCUAGUCAUCUCUGCUUUUUCCCCAGCACAAUCAUCACAGAAUCGGAGUUGAAAGGGAUCUUAUUUAAUCCACUCCUUUAAACACUUGUUUAUUCCCCUGCAUACCUUUUGUGCUUUCUACUCUAAUUCUUUGAUAAAACACCCAGCACUGUGUCUGUUACACAGUAGGUGCUCAAUAAAUAACUUGCUGAAUGAUAUAAUUUUUCAUUUGAAAGAAAUUUUUAAAAAUUACUAUAGCCCUAUAUCUUAUAAAGCAGUCAGCAAGCAUUUCUUAAGUGUGUACCAGGAAUUGAGGAAGAUACAGAUAAAUAAUCUAGACACCCCAUCAAGAGUCUUAAUUCCUUUUAAUCUGAAAACAGCAUUAUAAAAUUAUAACUAAAUAGGGUCAAAGAAUCACAGAUUUAAAGCUAGAAGGGUAUUUAGCAGUCAAUCCAAUCCAUAAUUUUAGUUAGGGAAACUUGAGACAUGAGGUUUGGUGAGUUGUUUAAGCUCAUACAAGUGGUAAAUGGAAGUGCCUUGAUGACCACAGGUGCUCUGAUUCAAAAAUACUAUAAAUAAUCUCAUAUUUACAAUUUAUACAUUCAUAUAAUGGUUUUCUGAUUGCCUAAACUAUUUAAUGGAAAGAUGCUCUGCUAGCAGUGAAGGCUCAAGGAAGUCUAGAGCUACAGAUUUGACUUUGCCACUCAUUAGUUGUAUGAUCUCAGAUGAUUCUUUAUAGGUAUACUUUAUGUAUAAGAUCAAGGAGUUGGAUUUUUUGAUUCCUUUCAGCACCCAAAAGCUAUGAUUCUUUUUUAAUCUAAGUAAGUAAAAAUUCAAUAAAUCCUGGGUGCCAUUUGCAAUAAGAAGCUUCAUCAUGACACCUGGCAUUUUUCUUUAUAAUCUUUAACACCAAUUUCAAAACCACCAAUAGAAAAAAACACCCUACUUUAGGUACUACUAUACUAAGUAGAAAUAAUUAAAUUGUUUUGGGAGAGGAAAGCCUGUCCUCUGCUCACUCUUAAGUUUAAUUUAUUUGUUUUCCUAGUAUUAUCUAUUUUCAGUGUUCCAUAUACUACCUAUGUAUCCAAAUAACUUCUUAAAAGAACAUUAGUGGAAUCCUAUAUAACACUGUCAUUGGAGAAAAGGAAUUAUGCCUCUUGAUGAUAGGCUUUCAUUUCAUCAAACUUCUAUUUAAUGCCUACAAUAUGUAGAGCAUAGUGUUAGGUGAGAUAUACAUUUAAAAAAACAAGGAUUCUCUACUGAUGGAUAUUAAAGUUAUUAGGGGUAUAAGAAAUAUGCAAAAUCACAUGUAAACACAAUAUUUUGUUAUGUAUUCAGUGGAAGAUUUAAAAUGUCAUUGCUAUUGAGAAGGAUCAGAAAAGACUUUAAAAAAGGAGAUGGAAUUUGGGUUGACCCUCAGCAGGAGGUGUAGGAUAUUCCCAGUAUAGAGAAAACCUUUGUAAACAAAGAGAGAGCUCGGAGAGGAGAGCAGGACAUUUGGGUGUAAGGUACAGACAGUAAUCCAAUUUGGCUAUGUUACAAGGGAAUCACUUUAAAAGACUGAUAUAUAUUAAUUUAAGGUCGCCAAGGAAUCAGCUAUGUAAUUCCUAAAUGAAAAACUCAAGUCAGCCGUCAGCCUUUUUUGGAGUUUAAUUACAAUAGGAGUAAGAAGGGAAUUAGAGAUAGAGAGAGAGAAAAAGGGAGAGAAGGGAAUAGGGCUUAAAUACCCCUUCUGUUUAGGCUGGGCCAAAAGGCCCAAGCCCUUAGAUAGCUGGGGCAAAGAAAAGAGAUCAGUCCCUAUUACUCACGUGUCCAAAAUGGAGAAACAGUCUCAGAGGCCCCCACCUUCAGCUUCCUUCAGAGCAAGCCUUCUCAGAGCCCAGGAACCACACCGACCAAAACCUCAGCCACCUCCUCCAGCUUCAGACCCUCCUAUCUUUAAGGAAACCCUCCAAGUUGCCUCCCCUCAGUCCUCACAUCUACCAAUCACUGUUCAUCAAUUUCCCUGUCAAUGGAGGCUCUAGCUUAACCCAGGACCGCCCAGAGGUUUCUGGCUUUUGCACAUGUCUGUUGAAGGUUAUAUUUUCAAAUGAUUAAAUCUUUACUCCUUUGCUACAGCCCUUUCUAAAUCCUGUUAACUUGAGUAGGGUAGAGAUUGGAAUAAUUAAAUUUUGAUCUAGGCUGCAGCCCUUACUCAAUCCUAUUAGGACUGAAUAGGGUGGAGAUUUAUUCCAAGUAUCUCCAUUGUAUCAAUUCUAAAAUCAAUCAAGACUCAAAGAAAUUCCUGUUCUAUGCUUAAGCAUAGGUCAAAGUCCUUUCCAUUGUUCAGCAAAGGGUUUCUGUCCUAAAGUAAUCUUAAGAAGGGAAGAGAAGGAACCUCCCAUGCCAAUGGGGUUCCCAUUCCAAUAGACUAUCAGUAAGAAAUUUUCCAAGUAUGAAAUAUCCCAAUGGUGAAAUUUCCAACAUUUAUAAGUCUAAGGAAAUUUGAGGUUUACAGCUAAAAGCUGGGAAGAGUAUAAUAUUGAAUGAGGCAAGAAUAUAAAUAAGCAUUGCUACAUUGUGGAAGACUUUGAAUGCUGCUUGGAAAAUUUAAAUUGAAUAGGUAGAAGUGAGCCAUUGAUGAUUUUGACUAAAAGAGUGAUAUUACAGUUUUUGUGUAUAAGGAAAAGAAGCAGAAUUUUUGAAGACAUAGAGGUAUUGUAAGCAAAUUGUUCAAGAAAUUGGCUUGUGCACAAGGUAGAAAGAUGACAUAAUUAGGGUAGAAGAGUGAAAAGAAGGUUUAAGUUUUUUGUUUUUUUUUUAAGGAUUAGGAGAACUUUAUUUGCAAGCACAUGGGAAACAACCAUUUAGAAGGCAGAAAUUAAUUGUACUAGAGAGAAGGAAUGCUUGUCAAAGUUAGGAUCUUAAAGAGUUCUGAAGGUAUGAGAUCAAAGGCUUAUUUAAAGGGUUUAACCUUAACAAAUAGGGAUGCUUCUUUUAUCUGAAUGGGGGGGGGAUAAUUAUGAUAUUGUAAAGUUUUAAGGACUAGGAGAAAGAGAACUACCCACUCAUAGAAUCUGACUAAAUCUCAGGAAAACUAAGAAGUCAUCCAAUCCAAUAUCUUUUUCUGAAUGAGAAUGUUUUCUAUGACAUCUCUGACAAUUGUUCUUAAAAGGCCUCUAGAAAACUAGGAACUACUAUCUCCCAAGAUAAACCAUUUUGCUUUCAGGUAGAUCAAAUCAUUAGGAAUUUCUUCACAUGAAUCCUAAAUACCAUAUCUUGGCAGAAGUUUCAGAACAUAUUGCUUCUGGUUCUGCCCUCAGGGAUCAAACAGAAAGAAAAAGGUUAUUUCCAUUUCAGUGUUACAGUCCUUCAAAUACUUGAAGAAAGCUGAUAUCAUUUCUAUCCUCUAAGUGUUCUCUUAAUUCAGAAUAAAUAAGCUCCUUUCCCUUUUUAAGGUUUAUUUAAAAUUGUAAAGAUCAAUUACAUUUUAUUUUUGCAAACCAGUCAUUUCUGUAAAUAUCCCCUUUUUGCUCCUGAAUUCUUAUAAUAAAAAAGCAGUUUUUAAAAAUCCAAUAUCAUGAUAACCCUUGAAAAUAAAAGUAACAUAUAUUCUAGUGUUUCUCCCCUGACCUUUCUAAAAUUGAAGAAGGUAUGCUUAAUGUACCCAUUUUCUUUGACCAGUCUUUAUACAGCAUGAUCUUGAGAUCACCCGGUAGCACUGGUCUAUAAUCAAGAGUAGACUGUUCCAUUUUUUCAUCAUUUGUCUUGAUAUUCUGAACCUUUUGUAUAUAUGGAUUUUAUUAUUAUUUCUUAGUCUAUAAAAUAUUCCUUUGGUAGUUUGAUUUGUAUAGCACUGAAUAAAUAAAUUAAUUUAGGUGGUAUUGUCAUUCUUAUUAUGUUGACUCAAACUACCCAUGAAUGGUUAAUGUUUCUCUUAAUUUAGCCCUACUUUUAUGUGCCAACAGUAUUUUAUAGAUGAGGUUUAUAUAAUUUCAGAGUUCAUCUUGAUAGAUACACUCCCAAAUAUUUUAAAACUUUUGUAGUUUUUUUAAGUGGAAUUUCACUUUCUAGCACUUCCUUUUGGUUUUUGACAUUGAUAUAUAGGAAUACUGAUGAUUUGUAGGUUCAUUUUAGAUCCAGAAAUUUUGCUGAAGUGAUUAAUUUUUUUUUGUUUACUCUUUAGGGUUUUCCAAGUAAAUCAUCAUGUCUUUAGAAAUCAGUAUCAUAUUUAAUAGGUUGAGAGAGUGGAAGAGUGCCUUCUUAUUAUUGCAAACAACAGGUCUAAAAACAAAAGUUUGAUAAUUAUUUGUCUGACACUCUGUAUAGAGGAUUUUUAAUUUUGGUAAUAUGGUAUAAUUAUACUAGGUUUGGAGGUAAGAAGAUAUGAUUUCAAAUUCUUGCUCAGAUUCUUAUUAGCAGUGUGACGCAGGCAAGUCACUUAACUUCUCUAUGCCACGGUCUCAGCAUCUGUAAAUGAGGGUUUUGGCCUUUAAGAUUAUUACCCUUUUAGCUCUAAAUCUGUUAUCCAUUUGUACAGGUUUGUGUUUGAUAAGAUGGUCUCUUAGGUCCUUUCUAACUGAGGUAUUUUAAUCCUAUAAUUCUAUGAAGCUGCUGGAAAGAUUUCAAGUGUAGCCUUACAACAGACUAUGACUGUUAAUCAAGAGUGAUGGCAAAUUCUGAGAAACUCAUAACUAGAAACUUAGCCCUUGGGGUAAUGUAUUAUUUUGGACCCUGGUACCUUAUGGACAUCAUCUACUAAGACAGGGAAUUGUAAUAAUCUGUGUCAGUGGAGGGAUCACUUAUACAGAUUAAAUCAACAGGAAUUUUUAUUGCCCCUUUUUUGUCUUUCCAAGUUUACUUCAGAUGGCACUUCUAGAACAAGCCUCUUUCUGAUGCUCCUCUGUGACCCUCUGAAGCAAAGACCAGUAUUAUUCUGGUUAUGUUUAUGACUGCAAAUUGUAGACCAUUAUUAUAGCCUCGGGAGAAUUUAUGUGGAAAAUCUUCAUAAAACUAUCAAGAUAAUACAUGGCAAGAAUGAACAGGCUAUGCUGCACUUUAUAAACAGGGAAUUAUGAAAGACAAGUGGCAUCUAUAAUUGAAAGUUAUCAAAGAAAUGUAUAAGUGAAAAAAAAAAAGAUUGGUUAGGUGGUGAGACUAAGGUAUAACCAAUGGAGAACCAGCAUACUUAUUUUGUCACCUUGUGUUGUCAAGAGAAUGUAAGCAUCCUAGCUUUACCUGGAUACAGAUGAAUCACACAGAAUUUACAGUCAUCAAUACAUUUGCAAUAUUUUGAUCAAGAAGAAUUGUAUUAUAGUAGAUAGAAUGCUUUGAUAUUGGGUCAUAUUCCUACAUGGAUUCAGAUUCUACCCUACAUAUCUGUUCUUUAUGUGACUGUGGACAAAUCAUCUAUCCUAUUUAAGCUUCAACUUUUUCAUCUGGAAAGUGGGAUAAUAACAACACCUCUUUUACUAGGAAUAUUGUAUCAAAUGAGAUAAUAAUUUUUGCAAAUCUUAAAGUACUAUUAUAAAUGUGAGCUAUUAGUUUAGUGUGGUAUUAUCACAAUGAAUUUAAUUUUAAUUUAAUUAAAAUACAUUUAAAUGAAGCAAAUAUCUUGUGAGCAUUUGCUAAUGUGCAGAGGAUUGUGCUAGGUGCUGAGACAUUUUUCUCAUCAUUUUCAUUGUCUUAAAUGAUUAGUAUUUCUUUGAUUUGUUCUUUGGCCCACUCAUUAUUUAGGAUGCUAUUGUAAAUAAAACCUUUACUUAAUAGACUUUCUUUUUCUUAAUGAUCUUUGUUUUAAUUUGUGUUUUUAUUGUGUUGUGAUCUAUAAAGGAUGUAUUUAGUAUUUGGAUUUUUUCCCAUUUAUAAUUUCCUUAUGUCCUCGUUUGUAGAUUUGUAAGAGUAUCAUUUGGUAAUGAGAAAUACCAUAUCUUUUAACUUUUUGAGUUUUCCAACAGUUUAAAGAGAACUUGGAAGACUUGAUCAAGUCCAAUUCCUUCAUGUUAAAGAUGAGGAAAAUAAGCAUCUUUGGCUCUUUGGAUUUUGGCUUCCUGAUCUAGACUUUGGAUUCUGGUGAGAUUUGGAUUUGGAUUCACAUUUACAGUCUGGAGGCACUAGGAUUAGGACUUAGGAUAUUUUUAGCUAGUAUAUAUUUUCUUUUUCCUUCCUAUAUUUCCCGCUUUAAUAUCUCUACCUUGUAAAUGAAGUUGCUAACACUCUACUGACUCAUAGUUUAACUUUAACUUUUAUAAACAGCAACCACAGCAAUUUUUUAAACCAUUAUUAUUUUUGUGAAACAAAAUUUUUAACUAUUACAUUUGGCCACCAAUUUUAAUUAUCAGUUGUGAAUGGAAAAACAAGAGGAGAAUUGAAUUAUUGAGUAGUACUGAUGGCCCAAGUGAGAUUAUACAUGAAUACUUUUUAAUCUAACAUUUUAUCUUUUAUUUUUACAUACCUUUAAUUCCAGAUGUAUCUUUUCCUCUCCUCCUUAUGACAGAAUACAAAAGGAGAGGAAACAACUGUUCAGCAAAGGUAGACUAACAUAGCAGUCAAGUGUGGCAAUAUAUGCAAUGUUUUAUAUCCAUGUUUUUUGCCAUUCUUUCUUUUUGCGUUUUGUGUCCCCUGUUCUCCUGUUGUGCCUUUUACUUCACUUUGUAUUAGUUUUCUCAUGCCUUUCUAACCUUCAUAUUCAUUUUCUCUUCUCCACAAUGAUAUUUUACUAUAUUCACAUACCACAAUUUGUUUGGCUAUUCAUAGUCAGUGAGCAUUUGUUUUGUUUGCAGUUUUUUGCCACUCCAAAAAGUAUUAAAUAUUUUUGGUAUAUAUAUAUAUAUAUAACUUUUAAAAAAUCAUCUCCUUAGCUUAUUAUGUGCCUAGGAAUGUUAUUUAUGGGCCAUAGUGUAAUUUCUUAGCAUAUUUUCAUUUUACUUUCCAGGAUGGUUGACCAGCUCUAUAUUAUAUACUUUUAAUAGUGAAAUCAACUCAAUUUUAUUAUUGUCUAGUGUACAUAAUAGCCCAGUUAGUCAACAAGCAUCUUGAAUCAGCCAAUCCUAGACUCUGGAAAAACAAAACUUAAGGUCACAUAGUCCCUGCCGUCAAGAACUUUGUAAUCAAUCUAGCAUGGAGCAACAUAUAUAUAUAUAUAUGUUUUCCUGAAUAUAUAUAAUAGAUACAGAAUAAUUUUGAGGGAAAGGCAAGUUGUCAUUCAGGAAAUCUUCUAGAAGUUGCAAUUUAUCUCAAUCCUAAAGAAAAGUGGGGAAAAGUAGCCUCAGAAGAGAGGAAUUUAAGGAACUAAAUGAUAGGAAUACCUGUAGAGAAAUUUAUCUAUUACAUACCCAAGGUUGAAAAUUAGCAGAUUGGGAAUUGUGGAUGGUGUGGUAGGUAUAUGGGCAUGUGAAGGAAAUCCACAAUUAGUUAGUUCCUUGUUAAAAAGAAAUUUAUAAUUGAACCAAUCCUGUGUUUGGAGGUAAAUGAAGCUAGAAUGGAAAUAGAUGGACAGAGCACAAUCAUGGAAAACUAAAGUCCUGAUAAAAAUGAAGAUGAAGUUUAAUGUGAAUUAAGGAGUGGUAGAAAUUAGAGAAAAUGUAAUUUUAACAUUCAUGUCCUUACAAGUGGUAUAAUUUUGUGAGGUGGUAAGAAUCUAAGCUUUGCCAGUAUAACAGCUGUUUGAAAUUACAAGAAAGAUUUAUCGAGGAAGGGAAUUUUGAGUGUGAUCAGCACACAAGGAAUGGUAUAAAGAAGAAAACUCAUAUUAAUUAAAAUCUUUGGGAGAAUAAGUGACCUGUGAAUAAGUAGGUAAUUGCAAUAAGUUUGGUCAAAGAGGAUUUAAAUAGGUGAGAUAGAUUUCAAAGGAGGAAACUUGAAAAAUCAUGAUAGAGGAAGACUAUUGAAAAUGAUCUCGAAGUUGCAAGAGGUGUUAGGAAGAAGUCUAUUAACCAUUUGAAUUGGAUCUGUGAAUUGUCUGGGAUUAGAGAGAAAUGGUCCUCAACUGAGAGGGUUUUAAGAGCUAUUUGUUCUUAGUGAAAAAGCCAUAUUUUAGUUAAAACUUGAAGGGAGGAGAAUUUUGGAGGAAACAUUUAAGUAUGUAGGAGAGUUUGUCAAUAAUAGAGGCCAUUAGCAUCAAAGGCAGAUAGAAAAUUCCUAUAAAACACUAACAUUCAUAUAAUUUCAUCUUUUCCACUCUGUACCUCCUGAUUCUUUAAAUUUCACUUAAAUAUAUUUUGGCUAGCAAUCAUCUCUGCCCAGCCCACCCCCCCAUCCCUUUUUUUUCCCUUUCUUUUAGCCCAUAGGUCAGUCUCUCUCUUCUAUUAAAUAAUAACAUCUUAAUAUGAUAUAAUUGAUUACUUAUUCUUUUCUUGACUUUACUUUUCUACUUUUAUGUAUUUUCUUGUUGUUGCUAUUGUUUAGGAUGUUGGUAAAUAAAAUAUUUUGUUUUUCUUCUAGAAAUAUCUCAAAUGCUUCUCUUUUAUGGCAUAUUCAUUUCUUUCUCUAUUUUUGGUAAUUACAGUGUAUGCCAUUUGAGGUUGCAGCUUGAAGUUCUAUGUUAUUCCAUUACAUUUUUGAUAUUUCAGAAUAACAAUCAUUUUUUAUCAUUUGAAUUUCUUUUCCUUCAUACUUGAAAGUUUUUCUUAUGUUCUCUUUCUGAAUUUUUUUUUAUCAUUGAAAUUGUUCAAUAUAACCAUUAAAUGUCUUAUAAGUUGAAGGACAAGGCAGUUGUUCCUUUCUUAGAGGUAAUCCUCGGUCUCUUAGGCUACACUAUUGUGUGGAUCCAAGAAGUUCAGUUUUCUUAUAUUAUUUCCUGCAUUAUGAUAUUAAUUUUUAAAUGUGUUGGGAGAACUUUGGUUAUUUCUCUUGAAAUGUUUUCAAUAUUAGGUGCUUUGGCUUUUCUAGAAUUUAUAUAUGUAUGUGUAUUUCUUUAUCAUUGUUUAUUUUUACCCUCUACCAGUUUUUCUCUAGUCUUUGUGGGUUCCAAAUCUGGUAUCUUACUUCUUUAGAGAGAUUCUCUAUGAUGGAUUUAAUUUUUUUUUCUAAUCUAAUAAUAGUUUUUAAAAUUCCACUUUGAGACCACCAAUUUUUGACCAGUAUUCAUUCCUGGUUUCUUCUCUUAUGUAUUUUAUUUCCCUGGAACUCAUUCUAGAGUUUCUUGUUGUUCUGUGCUCACUGGAGAGUCCAGGUUUCUGUAUUUCAUCAGCUACUAUUAAUUCACUUUCCUUCAUACUAUAUUUAUUAAAAGAACUUUGUAUCAUCUGAGAUUUAACUCAAUUCUUCUGAUGUUUGCAUCUUCUCUGUCUGCUUGUGGCUAGAAUUACAAUGAAUUUUUCUUUUCUUUAUCUUGUCAGUAUUUCACCUUUUUUUAUAUUUCCUUGUCAUUUUUUCUCCCCUCCUUUGCUUGUGAGCAAAUAUGGCCUUUUUAACUUUUCCUUUAUGUACAAUAUUCCAUAUCCUAUUUCUGCCUUUGCAGUGUUGAACUACCAGGUAUGGGUGUUAAAGGAGGACUUGCCCCUCUACUAUGAGGGCUUAACAUGCCUUGAGGGCUGUUCAUCCACCUUUAGUGUCUACCUGGCACUUAACUCUCACUAAUGACCCCAAGAAACUAGAGCAUAAACAGUGGCCCGCACUCCAGUAAACCCAUCUUGACAGAUGGACUAAACCAGGUCCAGAGUGACCACUAGGCCACAACUUGUGAGUCAGUUAGGGUGGUAUCUAACACAAGCAUGUGAAGCCUUUCCAUGGUAUAAUGAGUAGAUGAGAACAGUUUGUUCCACCAGCCAUGAAGGCCUGUGAAACACCUGUAGUUUGGUCAGACAUUGAAAUUGUCAUAGUUAUCCACUACAUCCUAGGACAUUGCCAGUUGUCCUGACUUUUGUCUUGCCACUGGACUUUAAUGUCUCAGUGAGAGAGUAGGGUUGAUGACUGCAACUCUGCCUCACUUAAAUCCAAUUCAUGCCCAAAGUAAAGACAUCACCCUGUGAUGUUGUUAAUUCUUUUAAAAAACAAAGGAGAAAUAAUAACUAACAUGCCUAGUUACACAUUUGUUUGAUUCCAUAGACUCUUCCGUUUCCUUCCAAGGUUUUGCACAAAUGCUCAUUUCUAUAUGAUAUUUUUCCAGAAGGUCUCCAGCUACUAAUAUCUCCUUCAUUGUCCCCCAAAUAUCUUACAUAUUUUUGUGUAUAGCUGUAUAUAUUUAUGUGUUUUCCCUAGUAAUAUACAACAUUAUUUAUAAUACAAUUAUACGAUAAUAUACAUUCUUGAUGAUAGGGAAAAUUUUACUUUGGUCUAAAUGGGGCAAUGGAAAGAAAUACAUUCAUAAAUGAAAGUGAUAUGAGAAUAACAGUUAAUUUUUUAAAUCUUUUUUUAAAGAAUAGAGUGGGAUUUACAAUGUGCAUUAUGGAACAGAUUUGCAAGAAGAACCUACCAGGUAUCCCUUUGAAGGGAUAGACCUGCUGGUUUGAAUUAGGGAUAAGGACUCUGGAAGAGAUUCAUGAAAAUGUUUGCAGUUGUAUGCAGUGUGACAAGACUGGCAUUAUGAAAGAAAACUUGAAAUGACAUGUUGAUGGGAAAAAAUUAAUUUCUUAAUGCAUAAGGUGGUAGGGGGAUUGUUAAAAUUUGCCCACACCAAAGUUUUAAAUAUAGUAUAGGAUUCUGGUGUUUCAGUGUGUGCUUAUGGGUGCGGUUUUUCAUUGAAGUUGAUGUUAGCUUUAGGACUUCUAGGUAGGGAAGGGUGGCUGAUAAAAAUGUUAUCACAUAUUACAAUGAAAGGCAUUCUUUUUAAAAAGUAUUUAUUGAACACCUAAAACAUAUUUUGCAGAGGGCAGAAGUCGGACCUGUAUAUGGAACUUAAAAAGCAGAGUUUUUUUAAGGAGAUACUGUCUCACAAUUUGAAAGUGGUAAGUUAACUAUUACCCUAGUGCAAGUAGAAACUGGGUGACUUCUUGUGUGGGCACUUUGUAGUUUUUCAUGUUGCUGACAGGGGUUGUCUAACUCUUUAGAUGCCAUGAUUUUCUUUGUAUAUAAGUAUGAGCCAAAAGGACGUACUUUGAUCUAUAGUGUAAAAAAAUACUGGUAUAGUAAGGUACUUUAAUAAUGAGAUGUUACAAUAUUGUGAAAUUUUAUGACUGGUACAGAAAUCCUUAUUUUAAAACUGUCUUUUUCCUUCAUUUUCAGUAGCUGACAUUAUGUUAACCUUCACUGAUUUUUAAAGAAAUAAAUGUUUCAAAGGAGGCUGCUGUAAUAAAUGGUUCAUUGCAACUUGAUGCUUGGUAGCCUAAUUAGUCAAAUACCAUGUGCCUAACUCUGCAUGAAACAACUUUCUUUUCUAUUUAAACCUGUAAUUUUUCAGUUGUAGAGCAGACAACAGUGACUUCAUUGUAAAUGGCCAUUGUAUUUUUAAAAUAUUUGUCCUCAAAAACAGUGGUCAAGUGUGUAACCAUAGAGACUACGUGUAGUUUUCUCAUUAAUUGUAACACAGUUCCUAUAAUAGAAUUAUUUACAUUAUUUGAACAAAAACUUUUAUGUUGGAAAACAACCUUUUAAUGUUAACAUGUAGUUAGCAGCACUUAAAAUAAUAGUUUCUAUGUUGUUUCUCAAGGAAGCAAAAAAUUAUAGUAGUUUAAGGGGCAAUCAUCCUUGUAUCCUCAGAAUACUAGAUACUUUUUUCCUCAGUAGAUGUAUGCUAUGUUUGCUUGCUACAUUGAGAGUGUAUUUCAUACAUUCCUAGGCUAAAAGAAAAUAGGUUCUUGGAAAUUUUCCCUAUAAUUUAACCUUAGAUAUCUCUAAUUUUGUUUUUAGGAUAACAUAUAUACUUUAAAACGUUGUCUUUUCACAUUAACUUUUGCAAAAUUAAAUGAGGCAGCCUUAGUAUAGUGGAUAAAGAGAAUAGAUCCCUGAGUCAGAAAGACCUGGGGUCAAGUCACCUAAUAUCUCACAUACUUCACUCAGACAUACCAGCUCUGUGAUUGCUAAGCAAGCUGCUUGUCUUCUCAGAAACCUUGGCAAAUCUGAGACUAGAAAUAUAAUUGCUGAUAUACUUUGGGAGAAGGACUAUUCCAUUGGCAUUGCCCUUAUGAAUGAAAUCACAAGUCUGGUAAAAAAAAUAAUUAUAAAACAUAUUUUGGCUGGGAUUAAAAUUCAUAUCCUUCAAUUUUUAAUUAGAUUUUAUCUCUUGUACUUUUCAGAAUAUUAAUUGUUUAUUUACAUGGUGCUUAAGUUUGAGAAACUUUUAGUAGUCUACUUUAGUUGGAAGAUAUCAGUCAGCAAACAUUUAUUAAUUGCCUUCUAUGUGCCAGGAACAGUGCAAGGCUUAAAUGCUUAAAUAGAGACCUUAAAGUAAAUAAUAAGAAAUAAAAUUUGGAAGUUCUUGGUUAGAACCAAACUAUCUGGUACAUUAAUUGUCAAGCCAAAACGAUUGUAUUUGUCCUGGUAGAAAGAGAGAGCCACUCGGAACUUUUCAGGAGGAAAGCUGAAUAUGGCCAUUUUAAUUUUAACACAUAGUUAUCAAAUGCCUUGGGAUAUUAAUUAGGCAGCUGUUUAGAGGAUCAAUUGAAAGAAGAAGAGACAGGAAACAAGAACAGUUAAGAAGUCUAGAUAGUUACAAAUCAGAGGAAGUCAGGGCAUGAACAAGGCAAUUGCUGUGUGAGUAGGAAGAAUGAAAGAAAUUUUUUCCUCACGAUAUCCCGAAUAGAUAGUAUAGGUAUUGCCAUCUCCAUUUUAGAAAUGAAAAAACAUAUUCAGAGAAGUCAUACAACUUAAUCAAGAUCACAGGGCUAACAAAUAUCAGAGGUUUAAUGACUCCACAUCUAUAUAUCUGUAUUGGCAAAAACAGUUAGAGAGGCUACAUUGCUCCCAUUAGGAAAAUAGUUCGGACAAUGUAAUAAUUUCAGGUAGUAAGGUAGGGUAAUGUAGUUCCAUUUGCUUUCCUCAGUUUCAUAAUCCUGGUUUGUAUCCCUAGCCCUGGUCAUCUAUCUUGAACAUAAAUGAAGUCUAGAUUCUAAGUAAGACUAGUAAGAUUUCUUGAUUUCUUUAUCUUUCGACCUGGUUAUCUAUCUGCACAAACAUCCUAUUUUCAGUAUCCCUUACAAAUGAUUAUUCAUUCUACAUAUGAAUGAAAAACUCACUUUGUCCUAAAGCAGCUUACCCCAAUUUUGAACCACUCUAGUUCUUAGGAAAUUUUUCCUUAUGUUGGUUGAGUUGCAGUCAUAGCCUUUGCAACUGUCAUUCAUUCUGCCCUCUGGAGCUGAGCAAAUCACAAAUCUUUUCCUUCUCCCUACUGACAGACAGCCCUUCAUGUAUUGUAUUUGAAAACAGUUUAGCUUCUCUAGCUUAAGCAUAUCCAGUUCUUCAACUUGACUUUUAAUACCAUAGUGUCAAGCAUUCUUACCAUCAUCUUUAGUCUCCUUUGGUUGCUUUCUAACUUAUCAGCAUCCUUCCUUAUAUGUGGACUCAACAAGUAUUUUUUGACUACUAUGUUAGACACUAGAGAUAUUUUUUAACAGUAAACACAUUUCAUGUGCAAUCAUAUUGGGGCAGAAUACAUGGGACGAUCACCUUUUUUUUGUGAAAAGUAUGCCACCCUGUCUAUAACCUAAGAUCAAGUUAGCCUUUUUUGGCUUCCAUAACAUGGUGUAGACUAAUUCAGCUCCCAAUUACCUCAAAUAUACCAGCUCUCAUGGGAAUUUUUUCAAGUGAAUAACAUUUAUAAAGCAAGUGCAAUAUAAAAAGCAAGCUUGCUCUUAUUAUUUUCUAAGCCUAUCAUGUAAUUGCAGUUGAUUUUGAACCUAAGAUCGAGUCCUUUAUUCUAGUCUAUUGGGAUCCUUUUUAAAAUUCCAAAUUCUUUGUGUCUUUUACUUUCCUAUUACAAUAAGACAGAAGGUCAAGGACUAGGCAGACAGAGUUAAGUCACUUGCCCAGGAUACCAUAGCUGAGAAGUGUCUGAAGCCAUAUUUGAACUCAGGUCCUCCUGACUCCAGGCUUGUUGCUCACACCACCUAGCUGCCUCGUGUGUUUUCUACAAACAUAAAUCCAAAUAAUAGAUUAAAAUGUUAAAUAGCAUAAGGCAAAGAGCAAAUUACUGGGAUAUUUUAUUAAUGCUCUCCUUACAAGCUCUAUCCAUUAAAUCAUUAUGGAUCUACCUCAUUACUAUUAUGCAGUCUGUAUUUCUCUUAUUUUUUUCAAAGAUUUUGUGAAAUGCCUUCCUGAUUUUCAGGUAUAUACAUAUACCUGUAUAUACAUUCCCCUUAAGCAGUGGUGUCCAAACUUUUUUUGAUGUCAUAGCCCAUCAAUGCAAAAGUUUUUAAGAAUAUACCCUCAAUUCAUGUAUAUUUACCUUUUUUAAAUUGUAUACCUGUAUUGUUGCCCUACUCUGUACAUUAUAAAACUUCCAUAAAAAUGCAAAUGAAAAAGGAUGAGAUAAAGGUGAAAUAAUAUUUGACUCUACUGUUAAUAGUGAGCCAUUAGAGUUUAUUGAGUAGAGGAGUGACAUGAUCACAUCUGUUAAAGGAAAAUCACUUUUGUCAUCAAUGUGGAGAAUGAAUUGGAAAGAGCAGAGACAUGAUGCAGGACCAAUUAGAAGGUUUUUUACGUAGACAUGGUGAAAGACAGUGAGGAUAGUAAGGUGUUGGCCAUGUAGAUAGAAAGAGGGGGACAAAUAUGAGUGAUGUGGAGGAAGAAGUGAUGAGUUUUGGCAACUGAUUGUAGAUGUGUUGGGGGUGAGUUGGCAGUGAGAGAAAAUAAGUCAAAAGUGUGACAGGUUCUGAAAAUAUGAACGAGUGGAUCCAAGGACAGAGUUGCCUCAACUACUGGAAGAUUUGGAGGUUAGAUCUGUGGCUAGCAUUUAUUUUGUACUUAAAGAUUUUCAUAACACUUUACAAAUAUUAAAUUAUUUUAUCCUCACAACUACCCUGGGAGGUAGGUGCUAUUAUACAUAUUUUAUAGUUGAGGAAACUGAGAAAGCUUAAAUUACUUAACUAGUCACACAGCUAGUAGGCAUUUGAUAUGUCCAAUUCUGGAUUUGAACUUAUUUUCUUGAUUCCAGGUCCAUCAGCAUCCACAGUGCUAUCUAACUUUUGUCUCUUGGUUAAUCACUACAUCACUUGGAGUUAAGCCAUGAAACCUCCAUAGUAAAGUGCCACAGCUCCUUCAUCCCCACCUUGGAGACCAAUGUACUGGAGUACCUGACACCUCUCUAGUGACUUUGUGACAAAAGAAGGUGAUGUUAAUCCAUGAUGACAUACUAAUCCUGUUAGUCACAAUGGGGGGGGGGGUGGAUAAAAGUGGAUAAACAGAUAAUAAAUCUUAUCAUCAGUAGCAUAAAAAGGUCAUGCUCUACUGAGGGAAGUUCAGAAGGGUUAACUUUGGAUUAAAAAAUAUGUAAAUUGUCAUAUCAUAAAAUAUUAGAAGAGUUUUUGGAAGUUAUCUGAUUCAGCCCUUCCCAGAAGCAUUUUGCAUUUCUCCAGUUUGGGGAGAGAAAGCAAUUGUAUCUCUAAUUUUUUUCCUCAAUAAGCAGUUAGGAGAAGAGCUGCAUCUUCAUUGUUAUAUAAGAUCAUUAAAUGACAUCCAUAAAGAAAAAUAAGUAGAAGUGUUUUCAUGGUCAUAUAUUUGAAUCAGAUUUUCUCAUUAGCUUCUUUAUGGAAAGUAAAAUUGUUAAGACUUUUUCCUAUUAUGUUAACAGAAUUUAACUAUAGGUUUACUAUCCUGGUUUAAAAAUAAUCGGUAUUUAACACAAGUUUUAUAAGUAAAAAAGGACUGGAGAUAAUAUUACUUCCUUUAAGUAACUGAUAUGUUUAUAGCAGUACAUCAAGUUUAUAACUAUCAAUGAAAGUCUGUUGUUGUAAACAUCCCCGACUGGAAGCUGUAAGACACAGCCAAGCUUUCAGUCAGAUGUUUGCUGCUACCGGCUAAUCACAAACAUCAUCUUGUUAUAAUUAUAUAUCCUCUACAAGAUCUCUCCUAUACCUAUGGAGCAGUCAUAGAGAGGAUAUAAGAAGAGUGUGGAAAAAUUUAGAAGUACCAAGUUGUUUUUUAAAUGUGUUUUUCAGUUUGUAUUUUUGUUUACAUUGUGUAGCACUUAAUUGUAAAUUAGAUUAAUAAACUUCUGUAUUUGUAAAUAGAAUAAAUAUCCUGUUCUUCAGAGCUCUUCAGACUUCGGCUAGUUUUUAUACUUUAGGACCCUUAGUAACUCAUUGAAGUUUUUAAUUUUGUAUUCUUUUCUAAUUAUAUCAUAAAAGUAAGCUUUUUCUAUUAUUCCUUAUAUUUCCAGUGAGGGUAGAGUUUAUCAUUGUACUGAUAUUCCUUUAGGCAUUAUAUUGAAUUACUAAGAAAUUAGUUUAGUUCUUUCCUUAGUGUUUUUAAUGCAGCUUGCAAUAAGGAAUUUUUCUCAAGAGUUUUUUUUUUUUUAGUAAAAGUUAAGGAAUUGUUGACCAAAAUCCAGCUCUGUAAUACAUAAUUUUAUAGCUGGGGAUAAUCUAAUCAUUCUGUAGUGUAUGCUUUAAAACUCUCAGUUACCAUUUUAUAGCUCCAUUUCUAUCAUUUCAUUUUCUGCAUUUAGGUUAAUCAGUAUUAUUCUUUAUCAUAUUUUUCCAUACAUGAUAAGCCAGUUUAUCUGUGAUUAUCUCUACAUAUUUGUUCUUCCCUCUGAUCCAGGAAAUACUACAUUUCCCCCUGGCUAUGAUGCCCACCUCUUUACUCUCAGCCAAAUUGUCACUAAUCUUUGGAACAAUGAUAAAAAAUACUGCCUCUUUGUGAAGCCUUCUUUAGACCCCAAAUACUUGCCUUCAAACAUGCCAGCAUUUCUUCAUUGCCUUGUUCACAGCUGAGAAUUGGAUUUAACUAGAUUUCAAAUCCUAGCUGUUCUAUGUACAUGACUUGGAAAAAGAUAUUUAACCUCUCUGGACCUCAGUUGCCCAGUUUAUCUGGUAAACAGUUUAAAGGUCUCUUUCAACUCUAAAAAUAUCCAAAGGACUUAAUUAGUUGUUCAUCUCUAUCUUUGGUAAAUUUUUUAAAGCCCUUAUCAUCUGUCUUAGAAUUAAUACUGUGGUACAGGAUAGACAAUAGGAGUUAAGUGACUUGCCCAGGAUCACACAAAUAGAAAUUGUCUGAAGCAAGAUUUUAAACCAGGAUCUCCCACCUCUAGACUUGGCUCUCAAUCCACUGAACCCAUCUAAUUACCCCACCUUUGUUAUGUUUUUAAAGCAUUUUUUAUGUAUAUGUUCCUGAUUCCCUUGUUUAACUUCUCUCCUACUGUAUUUGGGUUUUAAAUUCACCAAGAGAAUGUAUGUCUUUACACAAAAUACAACAUGAUUAUUCAGUAACUAUCAUUGACUGAUGUUAUGUAAUAUUGAAAGAUGCUUUUCCUCAAUACCUUAGUUUCUUUUUUGCAUUUUUUAGUGUAAUGAUUUCUUAAUUUAUUUAAGGUUUCUUCAGUUAAAACACUGGUUUAUCAAUUGCUAGGCAUCUUUUCACCCAUGGAAAUAUAUUAAUCCAACACCUAGUUGAGCCAAAAACAUAGUUCUCUCUUUAUCCCUGGGAUAUGAACUGGGCCUGUGAUUUCAUUAAUAUAGGUAUCUUCCAUACAAGGAAACUGGCUUGACAAAUUCAUGUUGAUGCCCUUUCUGAAAGCCAUAUUCUUUUUAGAGAGUUACCAAGAGUGGUGGUGUCAAACCCAAAUAGAAAUGGAAUAUGCUGAAUGGUACAUAAGCAUCCUUGUAUAGGUACAUAUUGACUUAGAAAACCCAUGUAUUAACAUAUUCUGUUUUUUUAUUUCACCAAAUUACAUUUUAAUCUGAUUCAGGCAGCUUGGAUAUGUUGUGGGUUGUAUCUGGCUGCCUCCCAUAUUUGAUACCUUUGGCCUAGAAUACUAAGAAAUUAUAUGACUUAAUCCAGACCUCUCAUUCAAUAUAAGUAAUAGGGAGAACUUGAACUCAGAUCUUCUCUUUUUAAGGCCAGGCUUCUCUCCACUAUAUAUCACCCUGCUUCUUUUCUGCCCUUACACUUAAAAUUCUUAUAAUUGACCAUUUAAGUUCAUAAUAAUAAUGAUUAAAGUGAACAUAUUUUAAUAAGCAUCUUUUCCUCCCUGAAGUGACAUUUUUGUUUAUAAAUAUUAAUAAUUUUGUAUUCUAUUACAUUAUUAAUACUACUGAUAGCUUCUUAUCCUAUCAUGAUUAAGGUUUACAAAGCAACUUUUCCCCCCAAAUUAUGAGCUUUUUGAGGUGCCUUGCUAGUAAAGCCUUCGUAUAUAUCAUGUGAUGUUUAUUGUAAUUUUCUUCUUCAUGGAAGAUUUUCAGAAAAAUAGGGAUGUGAGUCAGGCAUAGUGGGGUUUUUGUCUUCUUUGGGUGUGGUGGUAGUGAGGGACCCAUAAUACUGAAAUCAUAGAUUUCCAAAGUACCAAUUUGUUCCAAAUUAUAUAGUUUGUUUAAAAGGAUGUUAUAGAGUGUACUUGUUUCAUAUGGGUUGGACUAAUUGUCCUCUAAGAUCUCUGAACUGUGAUCUCUUGUAGCAAUCAAUCUCAGUUUAUGGUACCACUUAUCAAGUCUAACUUCAUACUGAUAUCUUGAUGAAACCAUUUAUUUUUGUUUUCCUUGUAGUAGAAUAUCUAGUACCAUAUAUAACCCAGUGAAUUAAUGGCAUAAAUUAUAUACAUUCAUACAUGAGCUUCAGAAUUUGCUCUAAAAUCUUACAUUUUAUCAAAUAAUUGUUUAUUUGUGAAAAGCUUAAUUUAGAAGUUUAUUUCUUGUAUUCAUGUAUAAUCAUAUGCAUUAGCAACUGCAUAUUUUAUAGAGUUGUAAGAUAAAUUUUUUUUAAGCAAAAAGGGUUGGACCUCUUCAUUAAAGCUGACAUACUAUGCUCAGCUGGUUCCGUUGUCCCUAGAUACUUCAGGAUUAAUGGUAUAGUUGGUAUUAUAUAACACUUGUUCUAUUUUAUUCAGGCCUAAUGAGGUGAAAUAAAUUCUUUGUCAGCUAUAAUUCUAAAUGCCCUUGCUCAGGUGUCUUUAGCUAUGACCUUGAGUAUUUUGUGAGUGAUUUUAAUUUAAUAUUUGAAGGUGGCAAAUCUCACUUUACCUAAGUGAUCAAGCCUAUUAUUUAUAUCAUAAUUUCUUAGAAAAGUUAAAUUUUUUAAAUUGUUUGUCAUAAACCAUUAAGUUGUUUGUAAUACUCCAUUAAGUUGUUUCUUAGUAGCCUUGUACUAAUUGGUGCUUUGGGAAAAUAGAAAAUGUUCGGUUUAAUAAAAAGCUUAGGAAGCUUUGUCACUUAAAGAUUACUUUUAUAUCUAGUUGUGUCUAAUUAAAAUCUCUCAAACAUUUUUUUUUGCUAAAAUGUGUUUUUAAUAUGAUUGUGAGAUAAUUUUUCUUCAUUUAAACCCAAAAUUUCUGUUAAAAUCAAAUAACCAAAUGCUCAUUUUUAAAUUAGGAAAUUUUUUAUUUAAAAAAAAAAACAACCCUUUUUUAGUUAAAAUUGUUUUCCAACAGCCCUUGUUUAACCAGGUGUGUGUAAUUUUAAAAGUAGAUUAAUGCAAAUUCCAAAUUGCAUAAUGUUCCUACUUUAUUGCUCAAUGUAUUUGUAAUAAUAAUUUAUGUAGCAAUAAUUAGAAAGCACUUUAAAUACCUUUUCAAAUCUUAGGCCAAUGAUGUGAACAAUACGAGCCAUAUUAUUACCCUUUUAUAUAUGUAUAUGAGGACAUGAAGUCAACAUUGCCAUACAGCUAGAAAGUACUAAAAUCAAAACUUGAACAUUUGUCUCCAGAUUACAUGCCAGAUGCUCUUAACACUACUCCAUAUAGGAGGCAGAAUGUUUUAAUAUAGUGCCUUGAGCAUAUUAAAUACUUACCAUAACAAUUAAAUUACCAAAAGAUUAUUUUGUAGAGCUAGAAAAAACUAUAAAUGAAACUUAACUGAAGUAACAAAUGGUCAAGAAUCUCAAGGGAUUAUGUUAUGAAAGAAAAAUGUCUGGGAAGAUGAUCUAGAAGUACUUUUAGGGAUAUUUAACACAGAGAAGCAAAUAGUGCUAAAAAAUUCAAAGAUGCCAUUUAUUGGAAAGAUUCCCUAUUUGAUAAAAAAUCUCAUGGGAAAACUAGAGAGCACUCUAGCAGAAACUAGAUUUAGACCAAUAGCUCACACCAUAUAGCAAGAUGUUCUCUAAAUUAAUAUAUAAUUUACAUAUAAAAGUUAUUUCAUCCAAAUUUGAGGAUCAAGAAUUUUACCAAAUGUGGAUUAAGUGACGAAUUCAUGAGCAAAUGAGAAAAGAGCAUCAGAAGAAAUUACAUGGAAUCGAAAUGUUUUUUAAAGAAAAUGGUUGACUGAGAAAACAAUUUUUGCAGCAAAUUCCUCUGAUAAAGGUCUUACAUCCAAAACAUGUAAGGAGCUGAUUGAAAUGUUUGAAAUUCCUCAACAGAUACUUGAUUAAGCAAUUUUGAACAGACUUUUUAAAGCAGGAUAUCUAGGCUAUCAAAAAUCAUAGGAAAAAAUAUACGAUUGGCAAAGAUGAAAUAAGAAAAAAAAUGACCAUUGCUGGACAGGCUGUGGAAGAACAGGUAUGAUAAUGUACUACUGAUGGAGGUGUGAAUUAAUCCACUCAUUUUGAUUUUGAAUUGUGCCCCAAAAGUCUAAGUCUACAUAUGCACAGGAAAUGUAAACUAAUUUUAAUCCUAUCUUUAACUAGUUGUCAAGGCAAGUGAAAUAGAUUGUUAUUUUGGGAUUACAUUCAUCACAACUUCCUUCCAUUUGUGUGGUAAUUGGGAGUUAAUUUUAUUUUAUGGCUAUUCCUUUUUAAGAUUCAUAAAACCUUUGUAAAGCUAGGAAUUAAGCAAGGAAAUAGGAUGUUAUUUUUAAAUAUUGACAGCUGUAUUUAAAAAACUCCUUUCAUUAGAAAAUAAUGAAGCCACUAUCCAGCUGUGUGACCCUGGGCAAGUCAUUUAACCCUAAUUGCCCAGCCCUUGCCACUCUUCUGUCUUAAGCUUGAUACUCUGGGUACUGAGGGUGUAAAGGUAAGGUUUUGUUUUGUUUUGCUUUUUUAAAGACAAAGAAUGAGCAGAUAAGCAUCAAAGAACUUUUGGGUACUUCUAAAGGAUUAGAGAUUAUUGAUUCUUGUUCUAUAUAUAAUUUUACUUCAGUUUUAACUCUUAAUACUAAGAUAAUAUUUGACUGUCAAAUAAAAUGAAGAGGAUUUUUUUUCCCCCUAAGGUAACUCAGCAAGAUUGGGAAGAGAGAAGGAGGAAAAUUAAAAAGAAACUUAAAGAUAAUCUAGUCCAGCCACCUUGUUUUCAGAUGAGGAAGCUGAAAUAUGCCCCAAGAUGAAGUGAUUUGUUCAAGGUCUUAAACCUUGGUCUUCUAUCUGCUAACCUAGUGUUCUUUGUAAUAAGAGAUUGCCUGAAGUAGAAAUAGAAAAAAAGACUAAAUAUAUACAUAAGAAUUCUGAGGGAGAAAUGGAAAAGAAUUAUUGAAUUAGAAUGAAGCACUGCAUGAAAAUCCAAGACAGUUUGGGGCAGGACAAAGAAUACAUGAAUCCAUAUACAGAAUGGAGUAAUUGUGGGAGUAAAAGGGUGGGGACAGAGGGAUACAGUGUGGCUAGGUUUUACUAUAUUCAAUUUAAGAUAUUCUUUAGAUCAUGUAUAUAGGAAGUAUCAGUAUGUAUAGCUAUAACUCUCUUCCUUAACAAGUUGAGGCCUGAAUUCUUGAAACUUGAAGUACAUUUCUAAAUUGUUUUUUUUUUAAUCCGUCAUUUAUUAUGCUGUUUUAAAGUUUAUAUUCCACUAUAUUGAAGUUUGUAUGAGACCUUAUAUGUAUCCUAAGAUGAACUUGCCUCUCAUAGGUAGUAUACUUAGCUAAAAUAAAAAAGUUUCAUAAACUGGCCAUUAAUCUGAGUUCCAGUUCAUGUAAACAUCCUACACUCAGCUGUAACACAUGGAUCGGCUGGGAGGUGGAUGUUUACUUCAGCUGACUUGGAAUAACAGCCUAUUAACAUUCUAAAAUAGAAUCUGGCAAUAAUAUUUUAGGGGGUUGAAUUUUCAAAGUCAUAGUUAAAGAUUUGAUCUAUUAUAGUCUUUCUAACAACAUUACAGGCAGCUGUGUGAUGUUUUGGAGACAAAAAGUACUGAUAGAAGCUUUUGGUUAUUAGAUACGUUCUGUUUGGUUAUUAUCUCUGUCAGAUUUAAAGGAGUUUAAAACUAUUUUUAUUAAGGUAGUCAAAGCAAUAUUAAUUUUCUGGUUUAAGGGAGAUGACUAUGAGCAAUUGUUAUCUAACAUUAUUAUAGCUACCAAUAGCAUUUUUGGAUCAUAAAAGUUAUAAUAUAUUUUUCUGAAUGAUUUAAAGAUAAACUAAUAUCCAUGUGUAGUUAUAUUUAUAUAUUUAACAUUUUUCAGCCUUGUUAUAGACUACUUAAAAUAUACUUGUUUAAUUUUCCCAUAAGUUUUACAAGUAUAAAUCUUUGCUAUUUGCUAUCAAUGAAACAUCUAUAGACCUAUUUGAAUCUAACAAGUAAAAAUUCUUCUGUAUUCUCUUAAGAAACGUUCUGUCACCAACUUGGCAAGCUCCUCAAACCCAUAUCUGUAACCCAAUUACCUAAGUCCAGAAAUAAUGGGAAUAUAAGUUUAAUUUUGCAGCUGUGGAAGAUGACUACAAGAUUUGGAGGGCAAUCCUAGUUAAAAAAGCAAACACAAGAAUUAUCCUAAUCCUAAUCCAAAAGGAUGAUUAUUGAAACCCCAAGUCUCUGAAGGUUUCUCCUACUUAGUGUUUGAUACAUUAAGAGCUUUCUGAAAUGAAGGAAUGGGGACUGAACUUUUGGGAUUGCAUUGGUAUUCCUCUGCUAAUGAAAAUCUGGCCUUUCCUACAAUGUGUAGUUUUAGAGAGUUGCGCUAGAGCACUGUGAGUUUAAGUGACUUGCCCAGGGUCAUACAAUGGAAACAUAUCAGAGAUGAGAUUAGAGCCCAGGGCCUCUGAUUUUGAGACCAGCUCUUUAUCCACUGUGUGCCAAGCUCCUCAUUCCUCAGUCAUGGGAAUAGUGACUUGGAACAGUUCAGUAUAUUGAGAUGCAUUAGUUGUAUACUAUUACAGUUUCUGUACCUGCUUACCCAAACUUAUCCAAUGUUUUCAAAUCUGUUUAUAAUUUCUUUAAAUUCAAUAGCAGUUCUAGAAUGUGUUAUGGAAAAAACUACACAAUUUAAAAGUAGCUUGAAAAUAUUUUUUCUAAUACCACUUCAAACAUAUUUAAAAAGUAAUAGGUAUUUUAUUCUACACUCUCAAAAAUUGCUGGAGUGCUUACAUAAGGUGAGGUUAUCUGGCCACACAUAGGUCAAAUUCCUAACUGACAUUCUCAGCAUUUUUUUUCAUAUAAUUGUUCAUUUAGUCAUUUAAACCUGAAAAUAAUAUUCUCUAUUGACUAAAAUUUUUUGUUUCCUUUUUCUCCAAGCAACCAUAUGUGGAAGUUUUAUUGCAAAUAAUGAGAAAUUUCUGUAUGUAUAUAGAACUUUGUAAUAAAGUUUUGAGAAAUUAAAAUGUUGUGGCUUCUUUUCUAGUAAAACAAACGUGAUUUUUAAAAAAACUUUACAUUCCUGACAUAAAAGCUCAAUUACCCAAAGAUGAGUAUCUGUUGCUAAAAAUGUGUUUUUAUGGCAGCAGUAAAUACUGAAAUGAUUCUUCCUUUUCACCAAACUACUCCAUAUAUGCCAUGUAUAUUUUUAACGUUUUUCUUUUAUUGAUAGAAAACACAAAGUUCUGUUUCUUCAGUUAGGUUUAUACUUGAAUUUGUACUGCAAAUUCAAAGUUGUUUUAUACUCAUUACUUUUUGCCAGUUCGAUUUAGUAUUUAUUAAGUGCCUGCUAUAUGCCAAACACUAUUGGACUUUGGAAAUACCAAGACAAAAAUACAAUAAUUCUUGUCCUUAAAAAAUCUUACAUUCUACUUAACAUUUUUUAAAAGAUGUGGACUCUUCUACUUCAUUUUUUAACUGCUAAGAUAUGUUGAUUAAUAUAAAAUAAUUAAAAUAAGUGAAUAAUGGGAAGCAAUGCAGUGAGCGCCUCUUCACAAACUCUUCCAAAUAAAUCUAGAAAAUAUACCAGACCAGAAUCUUAUGGGCAUAUCUAGAAACAGUAUGUAAUUUAUCCAGCUUUGCUCUGCAUAGCAAGGCAAAUAAGGAGGACUAUGAACAAUUGGGGUGAAUUUGGGCCACAGGCAUGCCAUGCAGAGACCAAGCACCUAAGAGCAGAUCCCAGACCUAUGCUAGGUUAUUGCAAUAGGGAUAGGUGUAAUUGGCAACUUUGUUGAUCACUAUCCAGUUUCAGUUCAAAGAUCCAGGGCAGCCUGAAGAGGGGCCUCUGUGGGAGAGUGAGACUUCCAGGUUAGGAAGUGCCUUGCAUUGUAUAUAGAAAAAGGAAGAAGUUCAGAAGCCAGUAAUGGCAAUAAAGGUGUGGCUCAGAACCUACGCACAGAGUAGGAUCUUGCUUCUUGCAGAGAAAAAACAGGAAUUUGAGUCUAGGGGAUCCUAUAAUUCUGCUACUUUGAACCAACAGCUUUCUAGCUAUCUGAUUGGAGCAAAGUUCAGUAAUAGUCUCUCUUGCACAGAUUCAAACCCAGGUCAGGAGAUUGAAGAGCUCAACUUAAGAAGCCAGCAAUCAAACUUUACCCAGAAUUAUACCACUUAGGAUACACAGACAUUUUUCACAUUCCUAUCCUGUCACUGAGAUCCUGCAAUAACAUUGAUUACUUCAAGAAAGCAGCAACAGUACUAGCUCAGACCUUCCCACCUAAAGUGUGGCAGAGCUCAACCACAUCAAGUCCAAAAGUCUGGAAGUAAACUUCCAAGAAUUAACAAAAACAAUCCCACCAUGAGCUAUUGUGGUAGCAGGGAUAUUCCAAGACACAUGCAAAAGAGACCAAAACACACAUCAGAGAAAAGCAUGGGUUGGGCACAAACUCAGCUAGAAUUCCUUGAAGAGAUGAAGUAAAAAUUUUAAAGAGUUUUAAAAUGUUUUUAGUAAAAAAAAUUAGACCACUUGGGGAAAAAAAGGAAAAGAAAUGAGAGCUUUGAAAGAAAAAGUUGGAAAAGGAAAUAAUGUAAGAGGAACAAAACCUUGCCCAAACAAAAAAUUAACUGAAAAUUGGAAUGAACUAAAUAGAAAUCAGUUCACAAAGGAAUGAAAAAUAUUAAAAUUGAAAAGAUGGAAGAAAAUAUUAAAUAUAACAAAAAAUUCAACAAACCAGGAAAACCGAAGAAAAAAAUUAAGAAUUAUUGGAUUAUCUGAACUCUAUAACAACAACAACAAAAGUCUAGCCAUCAAAUAUUCAAAGAUCAGUAAUGGCAAACCUUUUAGAGACAGUGCUGGGCCCUGCCCCCACCCUACCCCCAGACUGAGUGCAAUACCUAUCCCCCCCAGUAGCCACAUGCCAUGCCUAUCCUCCCACAAAGUGCAGGGCUUGCCCUGCCACCCACCCACCCUUUACCCCUCUCAGGGGAGGGAAGAAGUGCUCCCAUUGGGCUACUGGAAGGAGGGGUGGGUGAAAUGAGGAAUGUCUUCAGUUCAGGUAGAGAGGGGGAGGGGAGUGGCUUGAGUGCUCUGCCACCUGUGAGCUGCCCUCCUUGGGGAUGUGAAGAAAAUAAUAGGUGGUAGAGAGGGGAGCAGCUUUGCCUGAUUCCCUCUGCCUUUCUAGUAAUGAACUAGACUGGGGCAGGGGAAAUAGCCAUGUGCCCACAGAGAGCACUCUGAGUGCUAUCUUUGGCACCUGUACCAUAGGUUCAAUUCACUGACCUAGAUCUUACAGAAUUAGAGAACAAAAUAAAAUUUCCCAAUUACCUCUUGAAAGAACCUCCAAAAUUUAAAUUUCCAAGAACCAAAAUGUAGUUAAAGUCUAGAGCUUCCAGGUCAAAAAAAAAAUUGCAAGCCAUCAAAAUUCAAUAAAUAACUAAAAUCAAAGGAUCACAGAAAACACAGCCAUUGAAACUCUUAAGUAGAGAAUUUGUAGUAUGUUAUUCCAGAAGGCAAAGGAUAUGGGCUUAUGACCAAACGUUAUUUGCCCAAUAUAAUAGUAAAGGAAAAAUAAGUUAACUUUUAAAAGAAAUAGAGGAUUUCUAAGCAUGUGUCAUGAAAAGUCCAGAGCUGCAUGGAAACUUUGAAGUUAAAAAUAAAGGAAUAAAGGAAGACAAAGUAAAUAUGAAUGAACAGUGAUAAAGGAUUUAAAAGAUAAAAUGCUUACAUUCAAAUAUGGGCAUAUGAUACAUGUAUCCCCUCCGAACUCUAUCAUUGUUGGAAUUUCAUGGAGUCCAAUUAUAUAAGGUCUGACAGUAGUUCUGUUAUGUCAUAAUUAUCAAGAAAAAAAUGGAAAAGGGAAGAAGAGUACAUGGGGGCAUGACAGGUGGAAAGGCAAAGGAAAUUUAGAGAAAAUUGUAUUACAUAACCACAAAUAAAUAUACAAACAAGAAGGAAAUGGUGGUAAAUGGCAGAUGCUUAACCUUAUUCUAAUCUCAGCUGUUUAAAAGAAAUACCACACAUAGAAAAUAGGAUGGAAUGGGGAAAUGAAGGGAGGGAUUCGUCCUAAGCAAAGCAAACCCUAAGGAUGUACAGAAACAUUUAUAGCUGUUUUUGAGGUAGCACAGAAUAUGUCUCUGAGGAGAUGCACAUAAAAAGGGUAAUAGAUGAAAAAGUUGCAUACAUAUGAUGACAUACUAUACAGUAGAACCCUAAAUAUGUAUAUAUGUAAUCAUGUUAAAAUAUGUCUUAUGUUAUAAAGAUAAUUUAGGGUUGUGACUUAAAUCCAGAUUUAAUUGGUUACCAAAGGAACAUCUCAAAUAAAAUACCCCAGUCAGUCUGAAAAUUUAUGGUAAUUUAAUGUAGAGGGAAGGAAUUUAAGGAGAAGAAGGGAAGAGGAUAUAGGAUUUCUCCUGCCUGGCCUGUGCCAGGGGGAGUUUAAAAUACCCACCUCUAGGUCUCUGAAGAUGAUUAGAGGCUUCUAAGAGGAUAAAGUUGGAAAGUAAAGGAGGAAAACUCAGCCAGAAACUCACCACCGAACCAGACAGUAGCUUGUAGCCACUCUAAGAUGCCAAAAGGCCAGCACGCUGCUCUCAGCUAACUCUCCACCGUCAAUCAGGGAGAGUGUUCUGAGAAAUGAAAAAUCCCAAAUAUAUAGACCUUUCACCCUUGUAGCUCCUCUAAAUUUUCACAUCUACCAAUUACAUUAAAGGCUUUUCUCCAGGGCUACCCAUACUUUUAGUUCUCAUCUUUUGAUUAGAUUAUAUCUUUAGAGUUACUUAACACUUCUUUAAGUUCACCUUUUGUGAGUUACUUAACCUUUUUAUGAUUAAUUUAACCUUUAUAGUUACUUAACACCUUUUUGUAUUAAGAUCUUAAAAUAGACCUAAAGUUCUAGCUUCAUAUAAGGUAAGAGGUAAGUACCUUCAUUGUUCAAUCAGGAGAUUACAACUUUAUCUUCCCCUAAAGUACGGUCUAAGUAGGAUGGAGUAAUAUAAAGUUCCCAAGACAUUCCUGAUUUUGUUAAACUAAGUAUCUUCAUUGUUAUAAUCAGGAAAUAGCUAAAUCCAAUCUUCACAAUGUAACACAUGUACUUGUAUAUAUUCACCUUCCACUAUUAAUUAUAGACAUUUCCUAUCUAGACACUGGAUCAAGUCAAGCCACAUUUAUUUUAAAAUGGAGAUUUAUGUGAUGCUAGCAUUUCAUGAGAUUCUGUUGUUAUGGUUUUUCGGAAAGGGGAAAAGAAAGGUUAUACAGAGGGAGAAGGCACAUAUAAAUAAAAUUAAGUUUAUUAACAGGUAAGGAAUAGGAUUUGGGAAUGGAAUAAGGGGAAAAGGUUAUCAUCUGACUCUUAUCCCGCUAUAUUUUUAUCUAAAUCAAGCUUACUCUAUUUAUCUAGUUACUAUCUAAAGAGUAUUAAGGCUAAAUCCCACAGUAAACCCAAAUCUCACACACACAGUCAAUAGUUGAUUAGAUUUCAGGAAUCCCAGGUAUGGUGUUCUCAGAUGAUCUCAGCAAAGUAGAGGUCUGCCCUCUAGUAUCUGUCCACCAGAAGACUGGAGAUUUCCUCUCACCAAAGCCAGUAGAUUCUCAAAGGCCAGUUGCUUGAUGGAUGGACUUCCAGGAUGUCUCAGCAUAUACCUUUUUCCUUCACCUUUCAGCUCCAGAGUGUCAGUUGACAAACUACUCCUUGAAACUCUGACUCAACCAGCUCAGGCAAGAUUCUAUGACCUGUCAAUCAUUCUCUCCCUUGCUACAACUCAAUGAUUAGUUCACUGUCCACAUUCUCAAAAUUAGUAGUCUCAAAUUAAAAAAAUAAGUGCUUGCUAUGAGUUCUGUGCGAGGUCCUGUCACAUAUAUAAAGACAAACAGGACCUCAUUGCUGCCCAUCAGAGAUUCAUAGAUGAAUAUGAAGGAAUAAAUGUUUGCUGCAAUCUCAGGUACCUUAUGAGUAACAUAACACAUAAUAAUACACUUUCAGAGGGCUUCAGAGGAAAAGCAGGGCUUUGUCAUGGGUUGGAUAGGGGUUGCCUAUUUCACAAGUGGAUUUUGAACUAGGCAAUUGUGGAGAUGCUUUCCACUUAGAAGAAUCUAUGAUUUUAUGCAAAACAUUUAAAAUGAUUCUUUAAACUAGGAUCUGUGCCCUCUUGUUUCCUACUUUAAACUGUCUCUUAAAUGGUAACCUACAUACUAAGCUGUUCUCAGUUCUGUUCAAUUUGUGCCUGGGAAAUUCUUAUUCCUCACCUCUGUUUCUUAGAAUUCCAUUUUUCCUUCAAAAUUCAACACAAAUUCCCCCUUUUUUUCGUGAAGCUUUUCAUGAUCACCCUUAGCUUUUAGUGCCUCUCCCCCCCCCAAAAAAAAUUAGCCUGUAUCUUGAAUGUCUUAUAUGUUACACUGUGUUUAUGUUUUCUCCUCUCAAAGAAUUUAAACUACAUGAGGGCAAAAAUUGCUUACUUUUUGUGUUUGUAUCCUGUGUUUGUAUCCUGACGUGUAAGUAGGCCCUUAAUGAAUACUUGUCAAAUUAGAGUAGCUACAACUUCUAUUUUCAAAUUCUCAGUUUAAAGUAACUUGUUUGAAAUCCUGGGAAAAAAUUAAAGAUACUUAAAAAGUUUCAUUUCUUGUCAUAGUUACUUUUGCAUUUAAAAACCAAAAUCUUUUUUUCUUCCUAUUUUAAAAGUAAUAGAAAUAACAUGAAAUUAAUUUCACUUUCCUUUAUUAGACUUGUUAGCAUUAGAGAAAUGAACUGGCCUCAAGGCUGUUUUCAUAAUGUUCCAACUGUCCCAUGAGUCAAGGUUUUAGUAGUUGAACCAGUUCAGCUACCUUUCUGGGUAUCCUAGGCCUCUCAAGGUUGUGCAGCUAAAACUGGUUUAGAAGUUAUGACCUUUCUUUGCUUGUUUUGAAUGGCUUUAAACACCCAUAUACUCAGCUAUUUUAAGUACUACUGUUCAUCCUACUGACUUAAAUGGUUUGGGAGCCCUUUGAAAAGCUUAAAUACAGGCUGAGAGAAUUCCUAGGUCACUAGAUUGUCAGGUGCAAUUUACAGAGGCAUAAGUGACUGCUGCUUCUUUAAAAGUUUGUGAAAUAAAGGUUAUUCCACAGGCCGCUGGGAAAUUUCACAUUUGCUGGCUUAGUAGCCCAGCCCCUUUGGCAUUAUCCUAUGUUAUUCCCACUACAGAUAAGAGAGUAAAUCUUGCUUUCAAGUUUGUGUUUAUCUUACAAUUUAGUUAUAAGAGUUCUUAAAGGUCAAUUUGUCUAUAGUACCAAGCCCCCUCACUCAUUUCUUAUAUUUAUACUAUAUGAUUCAUCAGCAAAUAUUAAUAUUUAAAUAAGAUAGUGGUCAUUUGUUAACACUAGAGUGCUGUUUGCCAUUAUGUAUUCUAUAGUCCAGAAGAAUGCCAUUUAAACCAAGACUCCUAAUUACUUUUAACAAAAGAGAGAGAAAACCUAACCAGAACUUAUUAAAAUAAAUAGGUUGGUAUCUGAAAAAUAACCAUGCCUAUCUCUAGGAGCAGAAAGAACAGAGUAGAAAAAGCGAUUUUCCGUCUUCUCCCUGGUACUUCAUUUCAUGUAGAUUUUUUUUUUGCUUUGAAAUAUAAAUUCUCUGAGACAUGACACCCUGACAUUCAAACAUAAGUACCAUGUAUAUUCUAAUGCCUAGUAUUUGGGAAUUGCAUGCUUUACCAUGCCACCAGCAUUAUCUUUAACUUGGCUAUUGUUGUGAACACUCAUGUUGGACAAGCAACAAGAUAUAAAGGUUGAUCACCAAAUAAACUUUCAGUAAAGUUAAUUUGACAUGAAUUAGAUGAUAUACUGCAUUGUCAUAAAUGCUUAUUAUAAGCAUAACAAGGAGAACAUUAUACACAGUAACAACAAGAUUGUACUAUGAUCAACUAUUAAAGACUUAGCUACUCUCAGCAAUACAAGGAUCCAGGAAAAUUCUGAAGGACUUAUGACAAAGAAUGCUAUCCACUUCCAGUCAAAGCAUACUAUUUUUCACUUUAGUUUUUAUUUGGGCUUUUUAGUUUUAUAGGAAUACUCUCUUACAUCAAUAGCCAAUAUGGAAGUAUGUUUUACAUGAUAAUACAUAUGUUAAACUGAUCAGUUUACCAUGUCUGGGAGGGGGAAGGGAAGGAGGGAGACAAUUUGGAUCUUAUAAUUUCAGAAAACAUGUCGAAGAUGGUUAUUAUGUGUAAUUGGGAAAAUAAAUUAUCUGAAAAAAAUUAAAUGUUUAUUAUUUCUAGCUAAUCAUUUAAUAUGUCUCUGUAAUUAGUACUCUUUUAUAUAAACCACAGUUUUAGAGCCUUCCUUCUCAUUAUUCUCAUGCAUGUAUAAUGUUUCAAUAUUCAGGACAACAAAUACUUAACCAACUCUACCAAACAAUAUACUAGGUUCUAGUAAUAUGAAGUGAAAUAGAACCUGCUCUGAAGGACCUUAAAUUUUAUUGAGUGAGGCACACUCCACAGUGUCCUGAUGUAAUAUACUUACUUUGUCAUUUCACUUGGUGAUGCAUAAGUAUUAAAGGACAAGCCCUGGAUUCCCGAAAUGCCUUUAAUCCCUCAUCCUGGGAUUCUGUGUACUUUUACCCACCUAGCCUUCCAUGUUUCCUUCCUCUCCUAACUCCCCUUCACUACUUCCACUUGGUACCCAUGAAGGAACAGUUCUGGUGCUAUCUUUUGUUACCUUCAUCUUGAGUUGACUCCUAGACAAAUUGCAACAACAAACUCCGGAUCACAGAGUUGUGGUUUUCCUUCCAUGUGGUAAAGCAAAACGCAUGAUAAUCUUUGGAAGAAUAAGGAGAGUCAAAAAUAGUGAUCCAGUGAGAAAGAAGCCAAUGAUCGCUGGUUAUAUUCCUCUGCACCCAGCAGCUCCUAAGGAACUAGCCUCAUCCUUCCUUGUGAUGGUAGAGGGAGAUUCAGAGAAAAAAAAAUCUAACUUUUACACUAAUCAAAUUAAACUUCAAAAAUAUCUCUGAUUUCACUGAUGUGAGUGCUCCUUAUAACUCAAAUCUUGGAAAGUUCCUCUGGCCACAGAAUUAAAUCAUUGAAGCCACUCUGAUGUUUUAAGUAAAACUUACUAAAGGUUAACAUACCUUUGGUAUAUAAAUAUAGACUUAUAACAAUCUAAAAAUACUGAGGGACUGAUUACAGGAAGUAGGGUUGUUUAAGCUGGAGAAAACUUAGGAAGAAGAUGGUAGCCAUCUCAGUAGUCUACCUAGAUGGGUUUCUAUUAAGAAGCUUAGUUAGAUGGCAGUCUGGUUUUCAUUUGAAAAGAUAUCUAAAGGAGGGAACCUGUUUCCUCUGAAGGAGUCAGUUGUGUUUUAAAUCUCUAAUGGAAAGUGUUUGUCUUCUACCAAACCAAAAACUGUUUCUCUAUAACUUGUAGCUCUGAACAUUUUACUCAUUGCUAUUAAUUCUACCCAGUGGAGUCAACAAUAAAUAUAUUCUCUCUUACAUGUCACUGCCCUAAAUAUAAGUAUUAUAUUCCUCAUAUUUUUUCUGCUGGAUAAAUAUAGUUUAUUUAAUCAAUCUUUGUAUGAUCUCAAAGUCCUUGACCUCCCAGUUCUUCAGACACCAACUAACCAAUGUCCUCCUUACAUUAGACUUGCUUUGCUAGCCAUAAGAAGGCAGAAUUCGAGAGUGACUAGGAGUUUCAGUUCAACAUAAGGAACAAUUUCAUGGGUUCUGGAUGGGAAGGAACCUUAUAAACUAAUUGGGGUAGUUUUCCCAUUUGAUAAGAAAGGAAACAAUCAUGUGGGAAGUCGGGGUUAUUGCCUAUGAUAAUUCAGACACCAAAGAGCAGAGCCAUAAUUUUGAGAAAAGGUCUUUUCUAUCACAUCAUGUUACUUAAUGUGAUAAUCUGACAAAUCUAACAAGGAGAAUGGACUAAUUUGAAAGGUAGUGAGUUCACUGUUGUUGGAAGUCUGAAAGCAGACCACAGUAAUGAUGUGGGAUAUAUGCUUAUCUGUGGGCCAGAUAAGGUGACCUCUUAAGAGCAUUUGCACUGUUGAGAUUCUAUGAUAGUGUGUAGAUUGAAAGGCAUCCAUGAUGAUUAAGACUAUAUGAGGAUUAGUGAAAAGAAUUGAGAAUAUUUCACUUGGAGACAAGGAAAUGGGGAGAUCUAUUUUGAGGGGGGGAGAAAUGGGUUCUAUUUUUCCCCAUAGGGCAAUAUUAAAUAUAAUGGGAAGGUUGACUUGAGAAAAAGGAAAAUUUCCUAAUAAACAUAAUUAUUCAAAAGUGAAAAGGAGCACCCUGGAAAGUAGUGGGUUUCUUCUCUGAGGUUUUUCUUUUUCUUUUUAAUUCCAAAUUUUACAAAACCAAAAUUAAAUGAGCAUUUCCACAUACAAAGAAAAAGAUAGUACACAAAUAACAAAUAUGUGUUUAACUUAUUUUUCUUAAUGUCUACAUAAUAAAUCCUAUUCACUAGUGUUCCAGCUUUUCCCUACCCUUCCCAAAUCACACACAAAAAAAGAUUCUCCAAGUGGCCAACUUGUACUUACAAAUUAACUCUUUCAUGUUUCACCUUUCUGUUCACUUUCUAGAGGCAAAUUUUCAGUUUAUUCUUCUAGUAUUAAUUCUGUGGUUAUGUAUAAUGUUCUCCUUAUUCUAUUCAUUUCACUGUCCAUUAUUUUGUGUAGUUGUAAGUUUGUUGUUUUUAAAAAUCAGUCUGUUCAUUUCUUAUGGCAUAGUAGUAUUCCAUUACAAUCAUAUACCACAAUUUGUUCAGCCAUUUCCCAAUUGAGGGGCAUCCCCUCAGUCAACAAUUUUUUACCACCACAAAGAAAUGCUACUAUAAAUAUUUUAGAAGAUAAGGGUUCUUUUCUUUUUUUCCCCUCAUUUCCCUGGGAAAUAGACCCAAUAAUGGUACUGCUAGGUCUAAGGAUAUACACAGUUUUGUAACUCUGGGUGUAAUUCUAAAUUAUUCUCCAAAAGAGUUGGAUCAGUUAACAGCUUCACCUAUAGUGCAUUAGUAUCCCCAUUUUUCCACAUAUUCUCUGAUGUUUUUCUAAGCACAAGCUAAAUGACAACUUGAGUGUGUUGUAGAGCAGGAGUUUUGUGUGUGUGUGUGUGUGUGCAUGUGAGUGAAAUGUGUGUGUGUGUGUGUGUGUGAGCAUGUGAAUGAAAUAGACUCUUUUGGCAUUCCAGUGAUGCCUAUGGAUCCUUUCUUAAAAUAAUGUUUUUGUGAUACAGAAAAUUUAUUAAAAAGGAAAACAAUUAUAUUGAAAGACAGUUAUAGAAAUCUUUUUUAUUUAUUUUUUCAAGAAGCCCAAGUUAAGGACCACAGUUAUAUAGGGAAUUGUUUUUCAAAUUCAAAUGGUUCAUAAAAUUUGAGGGCUGGAAGGGGACAUCAGCAGCUACCUAGACAAAGGCAUCUCCUCCAAAACAUAACUAAUAUGAUUGUCUAGCAUCUGCUUGAAGAACCUUAUGGAGGUCUUCAACUAUAUCAUUAAUCAUAAUUAUAUCAUUAGUGCAGCUCAGGACUAUAUUAGUUUUCUUUUCCAGUCCUACAUCAUACUGUUGAUUCACUGAGUUUUCUCUGCCAAAACCCCAAGGUCUUCUUCAGCACAACUUCUAUUUACCCAUCUCACCCAUCUUAUUCUUCUGAAGUCGAUUUUUUUUAGACCCCUUUUGUAUCAUGUCACUCCCUGGGCUAGCCAUCUAGGUUUGUCAUGUGCCAAUUUGGUGAGCAUGCUGCCUAUGUUUUUAUCCAAGUCAUCCAUACAAACAUUCAACAGCAGAGGGUUAAGCACAUUUUCCUCGGUUACUCCACUAGGGAUUUCCCUCGUGUUGGCAUUGGAUCAUUUAAAAUUACUCAAGUCUGACCAUUCAGCAAGUUCUGAAGCCAUCUCAUAUUAUUUUCUAAUCCAUGUCUCCAUUUUCACCACAAGAAUAAUAUAAGAUACCGUAUCAGAAGCUUUACUAAAACAUAGACAAACUAUGUCUACAGCAUUCCCCUCAUCUACAAGCUUAGUAACCCUGCCAGAAAAUGAAAUUUGUCUCACUCAUUAGUUUCUGAGCUCCUUGAGGACAAGUUCUUUCAUUGUGUCCCAUACCUUGAAUAUUCAGUAAGCAUUUAUUAAGUGCCUACUCUGUACCUAGCACUAGACUUAGUGUUGGGUAUAUACAAAAAGGGGAUGGGGGGAAGGAAAAAAAGAACCUUGUAUUCUAGUGAGAGAUGGAAAAUACAAUAGGAAAUUAUUUGCAAGAUAUGCAAGAUAAAUUUGAAAUAAUCAACAAAAGGAAGGCACUGCCAUUGAGGCUGAUUUGAAUAAUUUUCUUAAAGAAAAUAGGGUUGUAAGAGAUGAAGGAAACCAGAUAAAAGAGAAGAGGGGAUUUUAGACUUGGGGGAUAUCCAGUAAAAGGGCCUAGAGUAGUGAGAUGUAGAAGAGAGAGUAGUAGAGAGCAAUUUUGAACAAGCAUCAGAAAGGAGGCCAAAGUUGAUGAGUAAGGGAAGGAUGAAUAAGAUAUAAGAAUUCUGGAAAAGUAGGCGGGGGUGGGGUGGGGGUGGGGAGAUAAUGGAAGACUUUGAAUGUCAAGUAGAAGAUUGAACACUUAAUUCUGAAGAUGAUAGGGAUCCACUAGAAUAUCCUGCCAGCAUGUGUGUGGAGAAUAGGCUUAAAUUCUUAGGAGUGGUGAUAUUUCUGCUUUAGAAAGAUGAAUUUGACAGUUAAGUGGAAGAUGAACUGUAAGGGGCAACAUGAGACCUAGAGACCAACCAGAAGUCUACGGUAGUAGUCCAGUCAUGGGAUGAUAAAGGUCUCUACCAGAGUGGUAGCACUGUCAGAGCAGAGAAUGGAGCAUAAAUGAGAAAUUUUACAAAGACAGUUAAUAGAGCUCAGCAGCAGAUUGGAUAUGGGGCGUGGGAAUUAAGAUUAGGAGGCAAGGAUGACACCUAGAUUGCAAACCUAGAUGUUUGAAAAGAUAGUGAUGUCCUUGAUAGUAAUAGAAAAUUAGCAGUUAAGGGAAAGAUUGUGAGUUUAUUUGGGGAUAUGCUGAGUUUGAGUUAAGUAUAUGGGACAUCCAAAGGAUAAAUGUCCAACAGGUAGUUGAAUAUGUGAUUCUAGAGGUCAGGAGAGAUUUGGAUCUGUAUAAGUGAUCUGCAAAGAUCACCAUAGAUAUAAUACUUGAACUCAUGGGAGCUGAUGAGAUCAUGAAUCGUUUAAAGGAAAGAGUUUCAGGACAAAUCUUUGGGAGACAUCCACAAUUAAUGGAAAAGACCUGAAUAAAAGUCCCAAAAGGGAAUCUGAGAAGUGCUAAACAGGGAAAAGAGGAGAAAAUAAUUUUUUUAAACUAUAAAGUGUUUAGAAAGAGUGAGCAAUCAAAGACUGCAGAGUAGAGAAAGUUAAGAAGAGAAAAGUAAUGGAGUCACCAAUUUCAGACGCCUCCUCUGAAGUUUAGAUACAAAAA